CAAAAGGCUCUUUUCAGAGCCACUUUAGUUCUCAAAAAAAGACUGU
rfam:Mus musculus chromosome 3, GRC primary reference assembly.